UCGGGUUGUAAAGCACUUUUGUCCGGAAGAAGACUUCGGGGCUAAUACCUCUGGAGGAUGACGGUACCGGAAGAAUAAGCACCGGCAACUACGUGCCAGCAGCCGCGGUAAUACGUAGGGUGCGAGCGUUAAUCGGAAUUACUGGGCGUAAAGCGUGCGCAGGCGGUCUGUUAAGACAGAUGUGAAAUCCCCGGGCUUAACCUGGGAACUGCAUUUGUGACUGGCAGGCUAGAGUAUGGCAGAGGGGGGUAGAAUUCCACGUGUAGCAGUGAAAUGCGUAGAGAUGUGGAGGAAUACCGAUGGCGAAGGCAGCCCCCUGGGCCAAUACUGACGCUCAUGCACGAAAGCGUGGGGAGCAAACAGGAUUAGAUACCCUGGUAGUCCACGCCCUAAACGAUGUCAACUAGUUGUUGGGGAUUCAUUUCCUUAGUAACGUAGCUAACGCGUGAAGUUGACCGCCUGGGGAGUACGGUCGCAAGAUUAAAACUCAAAGGAAUUGACGGGGACCCGCACAAGCGGUGGAUGAUGUGGAUUAAUUCGAUGCAACGCGAAAAACCUUACCUACCCUUGACAUGGUCGGAACCCUGGUG
rnacentral:rRNA from 1 species